AGGAGUCAAAAAGCCCAUCUCCUUAAGCUGACUGAAUAUUGGCCUCUAACAGAUUCAGCAAUGUCAGAGAAUUCCAGGGAGCUUAGCAAGCUAUCAGGGGAAAGUACCUCCUCCUCCCUGCUAAUUCUGACAGCUCCUGCCUCUGACUGAGAUGCAUUCUUCUGAAUAAAAGUGCCAGCUUGCCUCUCCCACAGGGGCUGUAGGCAGCAGGAAACUGAGACCCCUGUGUGGGUCUCACUGGCUUCUCCAUUUGUUUUCAUUUUGCCAACAGACACUUCUAUUUAAACUUCUUGGAAGGAUAUCUCAAUAACAUUCCUUUGCUGAGGACCAUAAGAUAGAAGAUGAGAAUCCAUCUGCCCUCUUCUCUGCACCCAGGCUUCAAUCCUGUUUGAUCAUGCAGGGGCUACAAGGCCUUCGACACAAAGAACUUGUCUUAGAUUCUAAUCAGUUUAACAAAUAGGACAGACAGCUGCUGAGCACUGUCUGAGUGACACUGAUUUACAUACAAAUGAACCACCAAUGUCCCCUUCUAUCAACUCAGAAUAAAAUCUGGUUUUAGCAUAUGCAGUCCUACGAGACAUGGUUAAAGGAUAUGAAUGAUAGUAGAGAUGAAAGAAAUCAAGGACCAUUCCUCCACAAGUCUCCAAAGAGGAAAACAACAAUCGAAGAAAAAAGAGUGAGAGAACAGAUGGCAUGGCAGAGUUUUGCUUUCUAUGUGACAUUGUGUACUUAUUAUUCGCAUGAGGACUAAUUUAUAAACCUGGAUAGUGUUUAUAAACUAUACCGUCCUAAUGGAAAUGAAAGCAUUAAUACAACUAGAAGAUUCUUUACUUUCCAAGCUUUAAUUAAAAUCACAGGCAUUAAGAAGCAAAAGUGCCCUCAUGGAAUACAAGUCUAAUGAAGGAUUUCCCUGCCUAGCACAGAGCUCUGUGUGCAGUCCCAGCUUGCUGGCACCAGCCACUGGAAAAGCCGACCCCUGUGUAACCAAAAGAGCUAUCUCUGAAAAUUAGAAAAGCAAAUCAUGCCACACAUUUUUUUUUCAAAUAAAUAUAGUUGCCAAGUCAGAUCCAGGAAAAACAAUAGCAAGUCAUAAGUAAAACACACACACAGACACAGACACACACACACACAGCCUUAGAACAUGCUAUGUUAAUUAGCUACCUGGAAGACUAGAGGCAAAUGUGUUUGUUCUAUGCGCUGAACACUUAAAACGGAGAGGGAAAGGUGUCAGCUUGGGAAAGAGGAAUGUGGAAACAUAGCAAAGACAAUCUAAGAGGAGAGAGAGAAAGGAAACAAGAGGAAAGGAUUCGACAGAGGAAUUUCACAGCAGCAUAGAAGAAUCGAUCAGGAGUUUUGCUACCAAACAAUGGAGAAAAAAUACACAGAAGCCUAGGAAGCGACCUUGAUUAAAACGCCCACCAUGUGAAUGCUACUCAGCCGACACACUCAUUUUGCCUCUUAAAGCUGAGAAAACUGGGAAUCCGAGAUAUUAACCAAGGGACACAAGAAUAAACAACUGGUAAAUGGUUGACCAGGCUAUAAACCCCAGAACUCUCCAACUUUCAUAUCCAGAAUGUUCUUACAAUGAGAAAAAUGUGAUUUUGAAUCAAGUCUUGAAUAAACUGAGGGUGAUCAAGUUGGGUAACACUAUUUGGAUAGAAAAAUAAAGGAUGCUUUUA